AUUUCUUUAGUAUAAAUAAUACAAAUGACUUCCAAUCAUUUUAUCCUGGUCUAACCCCAAGAAGAAGUA
rnacentral:tRNA from 1 species